CACGUAGGGUGCGAGCGUUGUCCGGAUUUAUUGGGCUUAAAGAGCUCGUAGGCGGUUUGUCGCGUCGGCCGUGAAAACCUGCAGCUUAACUGUGGGCUUGCGGUCGAUACGGGCAUCACUGGAGUUCGGCAGGGGAGACUGGAAUUCCGGGUGUAGCGGUGAAAUGCGCAGAUAUCAGGAGGAACGCCGGUGGCGAAGGCGGGUCUCUGGGCCGAUACUGACGCUGAGGAGCGAAAGCGUGGGGAGCGAACAGG
rnacentral:rRNA from 1 species